AGAGAGAGAGAGAGAGAGAGUGCACGCUCAAUAGCUAGAAAGAAUCCAAACAAAGGGGGAAAGAGAGAGCUUAUUAGGCAAGCAUGCUAGCCAAAAUCUUUAUAUUGUCAUUAUUAAAGUUCUGGAAAAUAUCUUAAAUCUAUAGGUAUUUAUGGAGAUCCAUAGACAUUCGUCAUGGUACAAAUUGGAAUUCUAAAUAGGAAAAAUUAUUUACAAAUACUGAAGGAUAACUUGGACUUGUUGUAAAGAAACUUUGGAUUGUUGGACGUUCAUGGAAUACUUGAGAUGAGAUUCAACUCAAAUUAAUGAAGACUCUUAAAUCAUGGAAAUUGCCUAAGUAGUCCAUCCUUUGCUCAAGAAAACACACAACUAAUAAAUUAAUCUUCAACAUUAAAUUGAUUUAACUUGUAGUUAUUGAUGACUCAACGCAUAGAGCUAGUCUGACCUUCCCUUUAAUGCACAUUGUACAAGUACUACACACAAAAGCACAAUUUAUGAAAGUGAAAUUUUACAUAGUUUACAGCAAUUCAUCCCUUUGUCCAUACGUUAGAUCAUUUAAUCAUCACUACUUUAAUCUGAUUUAGUAGGAAUCAUGCUUCUAGAAAAAUUGUGUUUUUUCAGUAAUAAUAAUCUCAUUUUGAAUUUUGACUUGCGAAUGAUUUUGUGAUUUUUUAUCUAAUGUUGUUCAUAAAGGCUGUUAACAUGAUGAUACUUAAGCUUCUGGGAUCCUGUUAGACAUGUAAUAUGUGUGAAUACAAUUAUUUUCAGUGUAUAUUGUGAAUUGUUUUUCCUGUUAUGGCCUAUACAUUCAUUUACUGGUAAUAGAUUAUCCUUUAUUGUAGCAAGCGUAAAGGAUAACACGUAUGCUAAAUGGUCAUGGAAGGAUCGUUUGUGACACACCCUGAGUGGUGGCACAUCAGAUCAUAAGCGGUUAGUGAGUUUGCUGUUAUUCAUCUCUCUCCUCUCUCUCUCUCUGGAUGGAGGGAUGGUGAGGAAUAAUGAACCUUUGCAUUUGCUUGCAUUCAUGGUCUUUUGUGUAGGACAAUCGAAAGGGUAGUGAGAAGUCAGAAAAGUAAGUGCUUUGUAGACUGGGCUUUACUUUCAUUUGUUACUGCUUGGAUAACUUCACUAUAUCCUGUAUAACUUUAACAAAUUUUAUUCUUUGUGCUGAUUACUGAAGUUUUAUUCUUUGUGCUGAUUACUGAAG
rnacentral:misc_RNA from 1 species